CUUUUCCUUCCACGUGCAGCGUCGGAAGUCGUUCACUUUUCUUCAAAAAUUCAAAGGAAAUGUGAGAACUAUUGGAACUCGAAACCAUUUGGUUAAAUUGAAAUCAAUGCAUGCCAUGUGCAUGUGAGAAACCUCGCGACAGCAUGUGAGGUCGUUGAGACACCUCGGGACAGCAUGUGAGGUCGUUGAGACACCUCGGGACAACAUGUGAGGUCAUUGAGACACCUCGGGCAAUGAGCCUUCUGGGGACACUUCCCACAUUGCAGGUGGUACUUGCCACUUUGAGGUUAUGAGUGGUCCUGGUUACACAGAGCACAUGGAUAAUUCCAAGAAAGAAUAACUCAGUCUGAGUAGCAAUUAAAUGCCAAGAUUAAACGGAUGGACUCUAUUUAAAAGGAUGACGUUGACCAGAAACUGCAAUACACCAAAAACAUUUGAUGUUAUAUAUACAAUCUAAUAAAUAAAGUUACAAUAACCACUUAA